UACGGGGGGGGCAAGCGUUGUUCGGAAUUACUGGGCGUAAAGGGCUUGUAGGUGGCCAACUAAGUCAGACGUGAAAUCCCUCGGCUUAACCGGGGAACUGCGUCUGAUACUGGAUGGCUGGAGUGUGGGAGAGGGAUGCGGAAUUCCAGGUGUAGCGGUGAAAUGCGUAGAUAUCUGGAGGAACACCGAUGGCGAAGGCAGCCCCCUGGGUCAAGACUGACGCUCAUGCACGAAAGCGUGGGGAGCAAACAGG
rnacentral:rRNA from 1 species